rnacentral:rRNA from 1 species
GACGUAGGGCGCGAGCGUUGUCCGGAUUUAUUGGGCGUAAAGAGCUCGUAGGCGGCUUGUCGCGUCGACUGUGAAUCCCGACCGGCUCAACUGCGGGGUCUGCAGCCGAUACGGGCAGGCUAGAGUUCGGUAGGGGAGACUGGAAUUCCUGGUGUAGCGGUGAAAUGCGCAGAUAUCAGGAGGAACACCAAUUGCGAAGGCAGCUCGCUGGGACGUUUACUGACGCUGAGACGCGAAAGCCAGGGGAGCGAACGGG